rnacentral:misc_RNA from 1 species
GAUGAAGAACGUAGCGAAAUGCGAUAAGUAGUGUGAAUUGCAGAAUUCCGUGAAUCAUCGAGUCUUUGAACGCACAUUGCGCCCCCUGGUAUUCCGGGGGGCAUGCCUGUCCGAGCGUCAUUGCAACCUUCAAGCGCGGCUUGUGUGUUGGGUCUCGUCCCCCGUGGACGGGCCCGAAAGGCAGUGGCGGCGUCCCGACAUGGUGCCCGAGCGUAUGGGAAUCCUCUUCCGCUCGAAUCGGCCCAUGCGGCGCUGGUCGUAACCAAAUUUUUUACCGGUUGACCUCGGAUCAGGUAGGGAUACCCGCUGAACUUAAGCAUAUCAAUAAGCGGAGGA